rnacentral:rRNA from 1 species
CCUACGGGAGGCAGCAGUAGGGAAUUUUCGUCAAUGGGCGCAAGCCUGAACGAGCGAUGCCGCGUGAGUGAAGAAGGCCUUCGGGUCGUAAAGCUCUGUUGCGGGGGAAAAAAGGCAGCAUCAGGAAAUGGGUGCUGACUGAUGGUGCCCCGCCAGAAAGUCACGGCUAACUACGUGCCAGCAGCCGCGGUAAUACGUAGGUGGCGAGCGUUAUCCGGGAUGACUGGGCGGAAGGGGUGCGCAGGCGGUCCAGCAAGUCUGGAGUGAAACGCAGGGGCGCAACGCAGGCUUGGCUUUGGAAACUAGAGGACUGGAGAGCAGGAGAGGGCGGUGGAACUCCAAGUGUAGCGGUAGAAUGCGUAGAUAUAAGGAAGAACACCAGGGGCGAAGGCGGCCGCCUGGCCUGUUGCUGACGCUGAGGCACGAAAGCGUGGGGAGCAAAUAGGAUUAGAUACCCGGGUAGUC